rnacentral:lncRNA from 1 species
GGGCAAUGCCAUAAAUGUUGUUCUUUGUUAAAAACCAAAAAGGAACCUUUAAUAGUUACCAGAAUCUGCAAAUAUCGUACCUGAAGAGACAACAAUUACCAGAACCAAAACAUGCUAUCAAAGUCCUGGUGAGGCAAAACCGAAGUUAAUUGUUCAUAAAUCAUUUUCAUGCAAAAGAGAACCUUUAAUAGUUUUAAGAUAGCAUGGUAUCUUAGUCAUACAAGGACAACCAUAUCAAAUAAAGAUUGUUAUACCAAACAGAGAUACAAAGAAGAGUUCCCAAAUAAUCAUGCAAUGAUAUCCAAAUGUAGCCUGAACUGGAUGCAGAUGGAGGGUACUUACAUGGUUUUGGUAAAUGGCUCCUAUUUUUUUAUUUGUAAAACGGUGGAUAGCUCAUCUUUUGUUCGAGUGUUGACUCUAUUUCUCAAGACUAUCCUAGUCGAAUUAGGAAUGAAGAGAACACAGCACUAUGCUUUUCAGGCAGAUUUUUGUCCAUAAUAAAAGGAUCCUAAAGAGUAACUAAAACAGCUACAAUGAAUUAAGUUUAUCUGGUGUCCCAAGGGUCAUAAUAUGAAUUUAGUAUAGGCUAGACAAGUUACUUUACUAUUAGGGUUCAUAUCUUGAGAGUUCUAGUGAAAACUUUGGUAGGAGUGAAGAAUGAUCAAUGCAAUCUGGGGAACGUUCAGGACUUCUCAAUCUUAAUGAGAAUCAGGAAAACAAUGGCUCAAAGCUAUAAAAUUUCCAUUAUAUUUCCGUUAACACAUACUAACAUCUACUGUGACCUUGCUAACUAAACAUGUCCAACUAGAAUCAAUAUUUCCUCACAAAAGCACUAGAUUUAUCUCCUCACAAUGUUUGCAGAAAAGCAAUGGACAGGGAAGAAUUUUAACAACCAGAUUCACAAUAAUAGACAAAACUGUAUCCUUAUAAUAAAAAGUCUAAAUGCAAUUUAAUGAAGCAUACUCCAGUAAUAUAAUAACCAAAAUUUCAACGAAAAGGAAACUAAUAUAACCCCGGUGGGGUGCUGAGAUUGAUUGCAAGAUCAAGUUCUUGCCAGUGGCUGGCUCAUAUAGUUGCCAAUUGGGUGAAGAUCGAACCAAAAUUAUCUUUAGAAGCAUGGAUAACCAAAUAUGUCCCUACUGCAGUAAAUAGAUAAAGAAACGGAAGAAUGAACAAAGUUGGAAAUGGCAAAAGAUGAAACCCUCACAAAGAUGGCACGAUUCAAACUGAACUAGGAAGUUAGAAUGUUCGGAGGGAAACUUUAAUGGAACCUCUCGGGCUAUAUGCAGUCGGCUUGCUUGAUUAGACAAGAAAAAGCACUUUCUUGACCGAGUUCGGGUCUCUUCCAUUCAGUGCCAAACCCUAAGAAUCACAUGGAAUGCCUACAAUAGUCUACAUGGUUAUAUGUGUUCUGCUUGAUUGAUAAGAAAAGAGAUGGUUCUUUCUUGAACCUAGUUUGAAUCUUUUUCCACAAAUACGGAUCAAAAUGACCGAAACGGCAUCUGGACACUCAAUGCAACGCAAUCAAAUUGCAAGAACCCGAAGACCAUCAGAAAGAAACAAUUAGGCACAACAAGAACGAAGUGAUUAGAACCAAUUACUUCAUGGGGCCGGGAGGUCUCGGUCACGGGCACGGAAGCGGUGCAGUUGCAUUUGAAAACGGUAUCCGCCAAGAAGGGGAAAUGAGACGGGACGACUCAUCUACUUCUCAGAUCGCAACCAUUUACGCCGUCUUUGAGUCAUCAAGAAGUCAAGUUUACCGAGCUAGUAGAUGAAAACCCAGGAAAGCAAGGGAUAACCAAGUAGAAGAGUAGAAGCGAUGGAAACCCAGGAAAGCGAGGGAUAACCAAGUAGAAGCGCUGGAAAACAAUGAAAGCGAGAGAGAAAGACAUGGAUAACCAAGUAGAAGCGAUGGAAACCCAGGAAAGCGAGAGAGAAAGACAUGGAUAACCAAGUAGGAGCGAUGGCGAGGCACCGACAUCGUCGAUGCGGAGAGGCGCGGGAAGCAGGGAAGCGAGAGAGAGGUGCGCGAUCUAAUCUUUCCCUAAUUUCCAUCAGCUUCUUGAUCGCCUCUGCCUUUCCUUCUUCCAUGGAUAACUAACCCAUCGAGAGAUCGAGAUCUUCAAGUUUCAGACG